rnacentral:rRNA from 1 species
UGCGUAGGCGGCCUGACAAGUCAGAGGUGAAAGGCUACGGCUUAACCGUAGUAAGCCUUUGAAACUGACAGGCUUGAGUGCAGGAGAGGAAAGUGGAAUUCCUAGUGUAGCGGUGAAAUGCGUAGAUAUUAGGAGGAACACCAGUGGCGAAGGCGACUUUCUGGACUGUAACUGACGCUGAGGCACGAAAGCGUGGGUAGCGAACAGGAUUAGAUACCCUGGUAGUCC